rnacentral:rRNA from 1 species
AGUGAACGCUGGCGGUAGGCCUAACACAUGCAAGUCGAACGGAAGCACACUAAUAGUUUGCUGUUCCGGGGGGGCGGAGGGGUACGGAGGAGGAAAAAAUCGGAACCUACUUUUUGGGGGGGGUUAAGGAAGGGAAAGUUACUCAAAUACAGCAUCCCCCCUCGGGGGGAAGGCGGGGGAUAUUCGGACCUGGUGGGAUUGAAUGGGCGGAUGCGGAAUUAGUUGGUGGGGGGGUUAAAGACCAACCAAGGGGAGGAUCGGUAGCUGGUCGGGGAGAAUGAUCAGCCACACUGGAACGUAGACACGGUCCAGACUCCUACGGGAGGCAGCAGUGUGGAAUAUUGGACAAUGGGCGCAAGCCUGGUCCAGCCAUACCGCGUGGGUGAAGGAGGCCUUCGGGUUGUAAAGCCCUUUUGUUGGGAAAGAAAAGCAGCAGGUUAAUACCCCGCUGUUCUGACGGUACCCAAAGAAUAAGCACCGGCUAACUUCGUG